rnacentral:rRNA from 1 species
UACGAAGGGUGCAAGCGUUGUUCGGAAUUACUGGGCGUAAAGAGCGCGUAGGUGGGUUUGUAAGUCGAUUGUGAAAUCCCCGGGCUUAACCCGGGAACUGCAUUCGAAACUGCAAGUCUUGAAUGCUUGAGAGGAUGGCGGAAUUCCUGGUGGAGAAGUGAAAUUCGUAGAUAUCAGGAGGAACAUCCGAGGCGAAGGCGGCCAUCUGGCAAGACAUUGACACUCAAGCGCGAAAGCGUGGGGAUCAAACAGG